UUUUCAGGAGUUCCUUAAAAAAUGUCUCCAGUAGUCUCUUCAGCGAUUCAGGGAUGUCGUCAGGAGGAAUCAGAGAUGCCUUGAGGAGUUUCAUCAGGAAUUCCGUCAGAAGAUCUCUUAGGUAUUCCGACAGGAGUGUUUUCAAGGAAUGCUUUAGGAGUUCCUUCAGAGAUUUUUUCAGGAGGAUUCAGAGAUGCCUCCAGAAGUUCAAUUAGGGACUCCUAUUAGUCUAGGAGUUCCGUCUGAUGUUCAAGAAUUCCUACAGGAGUUCCUUCGGGAAUUUGUCGUCUAGGAUUUCCUUCAGAGAUUCUUCCAGGAGCAUACAAGGAUGCCUCCAGUAGUUUUAAGGAUUCCUUCAGAAGGGAUGUUCACAGAUUAGUCCAGGAGUUCCUUCUAAAAUUCUUCCAGGAGCUCCCUCAGGGAUUCCUCCUGGGUCGCUCCUGAAAUUAUUUCAGAGAUUUUUCCAGAAGGACGCAGUGAUGCCUCGAAGAGUUCCUUCAGGAAUUCCAUUAGGAGUUCCUUCAAGGAUUUCUUCAGGACUAAAUCAGCCAUAUCUCCAGGAUUUCUGUAAAAGAUCUCUCAUAGAGUACCCAAAAGAAUUCCUCCAAAAUAUCUUCCAGGUAAUCCUCCACGAUUUAAUUCUGGAAUUCCUAUGAGGAUUCCUCCUGGAAUUUCUUCCAAGAUCCCUCCUGGAAUUCCUUCGGGGAUUUCUCCUGGUACUCUUUCGAAGACUUGUAACUGCCGACUAGCUCAAGAGGGGAGCCUUCCUGAGACUCCCUGAAACAAAACCUCAGGGUCGGCAUGCUUCUCGACCAGUUAUUCGCGGGCAGGGAAUAUUCGCACUGUCGUACAGAAAAACUCACAUCACUUCACAAUUUACACAUUUAUUCCCGGACUUUUCCGGUCUCUUCUUCUUCUUACACUUUCCUCUUUCCCACAUUCUUAUAUCUACUCUAACCUGAUCUUUCCUUUUCCUAUCGGGGCCCCUUCUAUCUUCCACCUUUUUACCACCAGCUUCCACCAGAUCUUCUACGAUGGCGGCCUUCCAAACGUUGCGCUUCGGCGUCCUUCGGGGUAGCGAUGGCGACUUUCAAAGGCCCUUGUAGUCUCGGGCUGCCGAGUAUGUUGACGGACUCGGUUACGACGAUUACGAUUUGCCGGAACCGCCUCAACAUAGGGGGAGGGGGGGGUGUUUGGUAUCCUUCAGCAGUCAGAACCGAAGUUCUGACCAAAAAUAGCGGGGUUCUGCUGUCUUUCUACGCUUCACUUGCUUUUCCGUCUAUAUCUUUAACUCUUUCACUGCGGGUACAACCUUCCGCACAAUUGUUCACUACAACCUCUUAAGUUGGCGGUUCGUUUGGCAGGCUUUCAAGAAUCAUGGAGUACAAAUGGGUCACUGUCCUUUAUACUCGGCCAGCGACCUAGAUCAGUCGUGUCCCUCUCUCAUCAUCGUGUCCGUUAGCCCGUCCAUCUUUGUUUCUUCGUCCAUUCCUUCCAGGCUACCAACAGGAUCUGCUUGUCCCUCUGGUGGUGGGUUUUGGAAACUGGUGGCGUAGUAUGGUAGACUGUUCAACUACGGUCUAGCAGACAUCUAGCUAACGGAGAAAACUACACAACAUAUACGAACACUUCCUACACUUUUUAUACAAUACACGGUUCCAAUUCAUACAAAAUCUCAAAAACACUCCACACUGAACUGCGAACACUUACACUCUCCCCCAGCUCGGGUAAAAAAUAUUUACAAAGUAAAUAUUUUUUCCACAGAUUACACAAGACUUCCCCGGUUACACGUACCUCUGAACCUACCAACACAAACCACUCAACACCAGAACAAAUUCACUUCAACCGACGGUAGUUCACAAAACACUUGACUCGAAACGUACUAGAUUAAGUCAUACAGAAAUACAUCAAUGAAACACAUUGUAAAAGACCAGUAAGUACGUUUACAGAGUAUCGGGGUCAUAGAUUUUCAUCGUUGUUACCAACUCCUCACAAUUUAGAGAUUAACUCUGUACUGACCGUCAACGCGAUUGCUCUGGUCUCCAGCGAUCAAAUGCGCAAACAUUGAGCUUGGCAACCUCUUCCAAUACUUACAUUUUGUCCAUACGAUUGUUUAAAAAGCUUUCUUCACAACGAAACAAAUGACAAUGCUCUAUUUACACUACGUAUUUACAUUACUUACAAGUAUUUACAGAUUAAAAUUUCAUUUAACAAAGCUACGGUAUAGUACGGUAAAAUGGUGCUUUGAAAUGUUUCACCGGUUUGUCGGAGUUGUGAUCGUUCUAGUACUACUUGUUUCGAAUUCCAUUCGAACAAUAGUCUUUUGGUGUGUGUUUGUAUUGAGAUGAUUUCGAACUGUCAAACUACUAAUUAUUGUGCAAUGUUAUGGUGAUGAAAUAUGAUCAACAUGAGGAAUCUCUCUACAACUACAGCCUCCGCAGCAUCGAGACCAGAUGACGUCAUGAAGAUCAAGCAUCCGAAGAGCAUCGCGUACGGAGACUGGAAGGAAUAGCAUCUCUAGACGAUGUAUUAACAGAGGAACUAUGACCGUGCUACAGACGAACCUUCCUAUAUAGAGUGACCCAGCACUCGUGUGGUCUCACUAUCUCACUUUUGCUCAAUCAACUGAACGAUGACGACACGAGUAAUCACCGACUCAGGACGUUUUCUGCACGCCAAUUCGCAAUGGAAUUAGAAUUUAAAAAGAACUAUUUAGGAGCUAAAAGUAUCACAGAUUAGAAUUUGAUAACCUAGUAAAUUGAAAAAUGCUAUAAAAUUUGAAAACCUAGUAAAUUUGAAAAUCCUAUUUGCACACGCUUCAAAAGAAGCACACAAAAUUUGUUGUAAAUAAAAAUUAUCGUUC